rnacentral:rRNA from 1 species
UACGUAGGAGGCAAGCGUUGUCCGGAUUUAUUGGGCGUAAAGAGCGUGUAGGCGGUUUGGUAGGUCCGCUGUGAAAACUCGAGGCUCAACCUCGAGACGCCGAUGGAAACCGUGUGGCUAGAGUCCGGAAGAGGAGAGUGGAAUUCCUGGUGUAGCGGUGAAAUGCGCAGAUAUCAGGAAGAGCACCAAUGGCGAAGGCAGCUCGCUGGGACGGUACUGACACUGAGACGCGAAAGCGUGGGGAGCAAACAGG